ensembl:lncRNA
CUUGGAAACUAUUUGGUGAAUAUCCUUAGUUUAUGACAAUGUAGUUCUUUGCAUAAAUUCAAUAAGAAUUUAUUUUCUUUUAUAACAGGACAUAAUUGGAGACACUGGUGAUUUUAUCAAGACUUUGACUGUAAUGACAUUUUCAGACUGCCUUGAGAAAAUGAGGCUGACCUAUAAAGCCAAUAAAAGCCCCUUGGAAAAUUUGGGAUCAUACAUUGUUAUUUGCAGAGUCCUGACCUGUGCCCACCUUUCCCCUUUAAAUAAUGAAACCCUCAAAAUCAUAUUUGAAGAAAGGCACAGACCACAGACUGUUUCUGCAAUUCCAUGUUCAUUUGUUCCAGGUAUGUCCUUAACCUGCCUACUGAUGUGUGGACUUCAGAGUAAUAUGGCCUAUGUCAGUUUUCCAAAACUGUUUUCACUUUUUGUUUGUUCGUUGUUUUCUUUCUCUCUAAACUCCUAAAUUGAUUGAGGACCUGUCUCAGAUACUUUUGGGUUUACACCACAUUAUCCCUGUCCUUAUCUUUUUUUUUUUUUUUUGGAGACAGAUUCUUGCACUGUCACCUGGGCUGGAGUGCGGUGGCACAAUGUCACCUCACUGCAACUUCCGUCUCCCAGGUUCAAGCAAUCCUCUUGCCUCAGCCUCCCCAGUAGUUGAGAUUUUACAGGCACCUGCCACCACGCCUGGCUAAUUUUUUGUAUUUUUAGUAAAGACGGGGUUUCACUAUGUUGGCCAGGCUGGUCUCAAACUCCUGACCUCGUGAUUCACCUGCUCGACCUCCCAAAAUGCUGGGAUUACAGGUGUGAGCCACUAUACUAGGCCUCCUUGUCCUUAUCUUAAGUGAGCACUGGAAAAUGUGUUCUCCUUAGAGUCUGAGCAGCUUUCUCAGACAACUCCCUGUCCACAGAAGGUUGAAUACCCACUCCCACUUGGAGUCUAUUUACAAUUUCCUUUAGUCUUGACUGAUAGCUAUUUUGGCAUGUCUCUCAAAAAUUUAGCCAGCUUCUUCCAUAUUUGAUUCAAGCUAGCUCUACAUACCUUGAUUGUGUGUCUCCAUUGUACUAAGUCACAACUUUCUCUUUUACUUCAUUCUUGUCGGUACCUUGAAUCUAUCAAGCUCUGUCAUGGGAAGACCUGUGCCAUGUUGUUCAACUGAAAAGAUUCUGGGGUACCACUUUAAUCUGUAUGGAGGUUUUAGUCACAUGUGUGACUAUCACACCCGUAAUUUGAUCCUUGCCAAGAGGUUGAGUUCUAAUCAGCCUUUGUUGCUCAUCUCAGUUUUGUUUUUUAAUGAAUAAUAAUGAGAAUCACUUGCAUCUUCUAAAUGUGCAUGUCUCCAAGUUUAUAGCGCCCUAUAAUCACUUUCAUUCCUAACUGCAAGCUGGACAAUUAUUUUCUGAACUCAUCGUUUCCUGUAGUAUUGAGGCAGGAAAAUAGGGUCUGGAGGCAGGGAGAUUAAUUAAAUCUUUUUUAAUUAUCUAAGGCUGAUUCACACUGACUUCGUAAAACUAAAUCAAAAGGAAAACCCCAGCUUCCCACGCCCAAGUAACGAAAGGACUCAAGGCUACUCCCUUUGCAACCUCCAUCUUUUCCGGGUGGCUGAUAAAAAAAUUGUAAGUACCUCUGAUUGAUCCCCUCCUGCAACCAAUCAGGCUGAUCACAGGCCAAGUCUUCCUUUGCAUAGGAGUAUAACUUUGUAACUUCACUUCAGCCUCUGAUUCGUCAUUUUCUGCAACCAAUUAGACAUUUGCAUAGGGUGUAACUGUGACUCUGCUUCAGUCUCUGAUUGGUCCCCUCCUGCAACCAAUCAGACUGAUUGUAGGCCAAUACUUCAUUUGCAUAGGGUGUACACCAAGUAACCAAUGGGAAACCUCUAGAGGGUAUUUAAACCCCAGAAAAUUCUGUAAUGGGGUCCUUGAGCCACUUUCUCCAGCCCGUUUGUACCCUACAUAGUGUGCUUUCCUUUUCAAUAAACCUCUGCUUUUG